rnacentral:rRNA from 1 species
AAUUCCACUAGUAAUUAUUAGCCCUUCCCCACUACUGAAUGAUUUUAUAAUAAUAUAAAAACCACAAUGCUAGAACUAGUAACAAGAAUUUUUAAUUCUCCUAAAUGUGAGCACUAACACCAGUUAACGAAAAUGAACCCACUACAGCAACCGCCAAGAAAACUCUGUAUGAACUUCCGUCAACCUAACACUAGAACAUUUCUGGAAAGAUUAAAAGAGAAAGAAGGAACUCGGCAAACCUUAACCCCGCCUGUUUACCAAAAACAUCGCCUCUUGACUCACAAUAAGAGGUCCAGCCUGCCCAGUGAUAAAUUCAACGGCCACGGUAUCCUAACCGUGCAAAGGUAGCAUAAUCACUUGUUCUCUAAAUAAGGACUUGUAUCAACGGCAUCACGAGGGUCACGCUAUCUCCUUUCUCUGAUCAGUGAAACUAAUCUCCCCGUGAAGAAGCGGGGAUACAACUAUAAGACGAGAAGACCCCAUGGAGCUUCAAACUUUCAGCAACUAAAUCAUAUACCUUCCCCAUAUUCAUAAUGCCCUGCUCAUUAGUUUUAGGUUGGGGCGACCGCGGAGUAAAAUUCAACCUCCAUGACGAAAAGAGCUAAAUCUUUACCCAAGAGUUACUACUCUAAGAAUUAGAAUACUAACGCACAUGACCCGACAAACGAUCAACGGACCAAGUUACCCUGGGGAUAACAGCGCAAUCUACUUCAAGAGUUCAUAUCGACAAGUAGGCUUACGACCUCGAUGUUGGAUCAGGGUACCCCGGUGGUGCAACCGCUACUAAUGGUUC